AUACACACACACACACAUAUAUAUGUAUACAUAUAUGUAUGUAUACAUAUAUGUAUGUAUGUAUGUAU